AGAGGGUGCGAACGUUGCUCGGAUUUACUGGGGGCGUAAAGCGCGUGUAGGCGGACUCGCAAGUCGGUUGUGAAAUCCCUGGGGCUCAACCUAGGGAACUGCAUCCGAAACUGCCUGUCUUGAGUAAUGGAGAGGGUGGCGGAAUUCCCGGUGUAGAGGUGAAAUUCGUAGAUAUCGGGAGGAACAUCAGUGGCGAAGGCGGCCACCUGGACAUUUACUGACGCUGAGACGCGAAAGCGUGGGGAGCAAACAGGAUUAGAUACCCUGGUAGUCCACGCCGUAAACGAUGAGCACUAGGUGCAGCGGAUAUUGACCUCUGCUGUGCCGCAGCUAACGCGUUAAGUGCUCCGCCUGGGGAGUACGGCCGCAAGGCUA
rnacentral:rRNA from 1 species